AACGAACGCUGGCGGCAGGCCUAACACAUGCAAGUCGAGCGAGGACUUCGGUUCUAGCGGCGGACGGGUGAGUAACGCGUGGGAAUGUGCCCUUCUCUACGGAAUAGCCCUGGGAAACUGGGAGUAAUACCGUAUACGCCCUAUUGGGGAAAGAUUUAUCGGAGAAGGAUCAGCCCGCGUUGGAUUAGGUAGUUGGUGGGGUAAUGGCCUACCAAGCCGACGAUCCAUAGCUGGUUUGAGAGGAUGAUCAGCCACACUGGGACUGAGACACGGCCCAGACUCCGACGGGAGGCAGCAGUGGGGAAUCUGAGACAAUGGGGGCAACCCUGAUCUAGCCAGGCCGCGUGAGUGAUGAAGGCCUUAGGGUUGUAAAGCUCUUUCAGCUGGGAAGAUAAUGACGGUACCAGCAGAAGAAGCCCCGGCUAACUCCGU
rnacentral:rRNA from 1 species